GUGGGGGCGAGUGAAAGUGGUUUUGGGGGCAGUUCGUGCGAGUCGGCCCCCCACGUUGAGAAUGCCCUGAAGUUUGUCUCCUGGUCAAGUUCAAUAGCGACUGUCUGGCUAUGUCUGGAAGCCCAGUGAUUUGCAUUGCUUGAAACUGGGUGUUCGGCUAAGUCCCCUCGGCACCCCCACCUCACCCUCCCGACCGUGGGAGAAAGGGUGCGGGCGUUCGCAUCUUUGCCUCGGAAAGGUUUCUUACAGGAGGUGGAUUUAGGGGGCAACUCGCGUCUAGUUGUGAACGAGCGUUUAGGGAAUCCGAAACUCGGGGAACCCUGGUGAUAGUCUACUCCCCGCCCCCGCACAACAUGCAUAGACACACUGCACAUCACAUGUACACACAAACACACACACGCACACGCCACUCCUCCCGCCCCGAUUUGCUUCCGGGAAAACAAGUCCGAGAGCAGCAGACACUUGCCAAAAGUCACGCAGCGAGUGAGUAGAAUAAAGAUUUAAAAUUUCUCCGCUCCCGGCCGGGUGGUGGGCCCAUAUCCUGCGUAGCCUCUAGGAAGCGCUAGACCCAUGGAUCCUCAGAGCUGGGGCUGAUAAGCCUACUGAAUACUGCUGAUAGGACCUCAUUGGAAACAUUUGUGGACAUAAAAUUGUGAUCAAUCCGUGAGAUCUCAGAGAAGGUCAGCCAAAUGAUUCCUAUCAGAACCGCUUUUACUGCCUCCCCCGGCGACGUUCCCGGCCCGCCAACGUUUCUUUCGUCCUUACAAGGCCAGCUUCCACCCGCUGCUUUUGUGUAAAUAAAGCCUGGCCUUCUGCCUGCAGGUUGCCGCCAGAAGCCGGCCGGUGGGGGAAGGGUUCGGAACCGGUACGACCGCCUCAGCCGCGCCGGGAGAGGCCGAGAGUCCGCCACGCUCAGCCGUCGCGCGGGGGCGGUACUCCGGGCCCCCCAGGAUGAGCCGAGCCGAGAAACCCAGCACGAGAAAGUCCCCACCCACCUGCACCCUCUUCCGUGGGUCACCCCGCGCGUGGCAGGCCCUUGACAAAUAUCGUCCUGAAUUCUCCCCGCGAUCCUGGGAGUAUCCUCCCCAUUUUAUAGACGAGAGACUGAGGCUUACCAAGUGUAAGGGGCUUGACCGAGGUCCCAUAGGCGAAAAAAGUGGCAAACCAAGAACUUCUAACCGAAUAUAUCUGGCUGCAAAAUCCAGUCUUCUCCCAUCCCGCCGGUCACCAGUGAGACUGUAAAGGUCUUAAAGGAGAAGAAUAAAAAAAAAAAUAACCACACGAAUCAGAUUAACAGAUCGUAAGGAAUUGAAAGGGCCUUCCAGAGCUGCUGGUAUUUCAAACAAGUGGACUCGAACCACAGGAUAAGUAACAAACUACUUUUCCUGGGUGACCAAUCAUACUUUUUUUUUAAUUAAAAAUAUAUUUAUUAAAAUAGAUUACGAUGGAGAAGAAUAUAAUUUUCAAAAUAAUGAUAGCUGAAAACAGAAGACUUAAAAGAAAUGUCAGGCUGUUUCCACCUCGCACACCUUUCGUUCGAUUGCACACACAUUCUUGACAUCAAGUACAUAAACAGGCAAACUGAGGCCCGAAACCAGUCCCACUGAGAGCGAGAGGCCGAGUGGGAGGAGAACCGAGAUUUCCGGGCUCUCGGCCUGGGGUGCUUUCGGCUGGGGGCGGGGGUCCUGUUUGUAAACAGGUGUCCUCGGACAGCCACUGCCGAUUUUUGUCACUCUGCCAACCGGAGGGACGAUUCUGAGUAAUCGCUAGCAGUCAGCGCAGCUGGGGCUAAAAGCGAAAGGGACGCGCGCGCGACGGGCCCGGGAGGGCGACGGG
ensembl:lncRNA